UCCUUAGACUGCCUCGAGUAGGACACAAGUCUCUUCUAUUAGAAUCACUGUGUUUAAGCAAGAGUCUCUCUUAUUAGAAUCCCUGGGGUCGCCAAUGUAUCUCUAUCAUUAGACUGCCUGGGGUGGCAAAGGUGUCUCUAUCAUUAUAUUAUAAUGCCUGGGGUCGCCCAAGUGUCUCUAACAUUAGAAUGCCUCGGAUCAGCCAGGAGUCUGUCUCAUUAGAAAGCCUGCAGUCACCCAAGUUUCUCUAUCACUUUGCCUGGGUUUGGCUGGGAGUCUUUUUCAUUAGAAUGCCUGGGGUCUCCCAGGACUCUGCAUAAUUAGACUGCCUGGGUUUGGCCAGGAGUUUCUUCUGUUCAUUAGACUGCCUGGGGUCAGCCAGGAGUCUCUUUCAUUAGAAUGCUUGUGGUCGCCUAUAUGUCUCUAUCAUUAGACUGCCUGGGGUGGGCCAGGAGCCUAUCCCAUUAGAAUGCCUGGGGUAGCCCUGCUGUCUGUAUAAUUAGACUGACUGUGGUCAACUAGGAAUCUCUCCCAUUAGAAUGCCUGGGGUCUCCCAGGUGUGUCUAUCAUUACAUUGCCUUAGGUCAGCAAGCAGUCGCUCUCAUUACAAUGCCUGGGGUCGCCCUGGUAUCUCUAUCAUUAAACUGCCUGAGGUUGGCAGGGAGUCUCCCCCAUUAGAAUGUGUGGGUUUGACUGCAGUCACUCCCAUUAGACUGUCUGGAGUCACAGAGGUGUCUCUAUCAUUAGAAUGCCUAAGGUUGUCUGGGAGCCUCUCCCAUUAGAAUGCCUGGAGUAGCCCAAUUGUCUCUAUCAUCACACUGCCUGGGGUUGGCCGGGGGUCUUUUUCAUUACAAUGUCUGGGGUCUCCCAGAAGUGUGUAAAAUUAAACUGCCUGGGGCAGGUCAGGAGUCUCUCCUAUUAAAAUGCCUGGGGUCACCCAAGUGUCUCUAUCAUUAGACUGCCUGGAUUUGGCUGGGAGUCCCUCUCAUUAGAAUGCCUGGAGGUACCAAGGAGCUUUUAUCCUUAGAUAGCCUGAAGGCGGACAAGAGUCUUUUCCAUUACAAUCACUGAGGUUGGCCAGGAGUCUCUCCCAUUAGAAUGCCUUGGGUCGCCCAGGUGCCUCUAUCAUUAGAUUGCCUGGGGUUGGCCAGGAGUCUCUUUCAUUAGAAUGCCCGGGGUCUCCCAUGUGUCUCUAUAAUUAGACUGCCAGUGGUCAACUAGAAAUCUUUCCCAUUAGAAUGCCUGGGGUCACCCAGGUGUCUCUAUCCACAGACUGCCUUGGUCAGCCAGGAGUCUCUCCCAUUAGAAUGCCUGUGUUCACUCAGUUGUCACUUAAAUUAGACUGCAAGAUGUCGGCCAGGAGUCUCUUCCAUUAUAAUGUCUGGGGUCACUCAAGUGUCUCUAUCAUUAGACUGCCUGUGGUCAGCCAGGAGUCUCUCCAUUAGAAUGCCUGGGGUUGCCAGGAGUCUCUCACAUAAAAAAAUGCCUGUUGUAGCCCAGGUGUCUCUAUUACUAAAAUGCUCACUUGUCUCUAUCAUUAGAAUGCCAGGGUUUGGCCAGGAGUUUCUUUCAGUAGAAUGCCUGGGGUCGACCAGGUGUUUGUAUCACUAGACUGCCUUGGGCUGGUUGGUUGUCUCUCUCAUUAAAAUGUCUAGUGUCGCCCAGUGUCUCUAUCAUUAGAAUACCUGGGGUUGGCCCUGGGCCUCUCCCAUAAGAAUGCCUCAGGUUCCCCAGCUGUCUCUAUCAUUAGACAGCCUGGGGUCGCACAGGUGUCUCUAUCAUUAGAAUGGGGUCAUCCAGGAGUCUCUCCCAUUAGAAUGUCUGGGGUCACCUAAGUGUCUCUAUAAUCACACUGCCUGGGUUCAGCUGGGAGUCUCUUUCAUUAGAAUGCCUGCAGUCACCCAGGAGUCUGUAUAAUUAGACUGUCUGGAUUCAGCCAGGAGUCUCUCCCAUUAAAAUGCCUGAUGUUGCUCAGCUGUGUAUCCUUAGACUGUCUUGCUUGGGCUGGGAAUUUGUCUUAUUAGAAUGCCUGGAGUCGCCCAGGAAUCUCACCUGCCUAGGGUCAGACAAGAGUCUCUUCCAUUAGAAUCACUGAGGGUGGCUGGGAGUCUCUCCCAUUAGAAUGACUGGGGUUGCCCACGUGUCUCUAUUAUUAGACUGCCUGGGGUUAGCCAGGAGUCUCUCUCAUUAGAAUGCCUGGUUUCGCUUACGUGUCUUUAUCAUUUGACCACCUGGGGUCAGCCAGGAAUCUCUCUUAUUAGAAUGCCUGGUGUUGGCUGGGAGUUUCUCCCAUUUGUGUGCCUGGGGUCACACAGGUGUCCCUAUCAUUACAAUGCUUGCCAUCUUCCAGAUGUCUCCAUCAUUACAAUGCCUCUGGAUGACCGGGAGUCUCUCCCAUUAAAAUGCCUGCGAUUGCCUAGGUGUCUCUAUCAUAAGACUGCCUGGGAUCGCAUGAGAGUCUCUCCCAUUAGAAUGCCUCUGGUUGCUCAGGUGUCUCUAUCUUUAGACUUCCUUAUGUCAGCCGGGAGUCUCUCAUAUUAGAAUGCCUGGGUGUUGCUCAGGAGUCUCUAACCUUAAACUGCCUGGGAUCAGACAAGUCUCUCCCAUUAGAAUCACUGGGGUGGGCUGAGCCUCUCCCAUUAGAAUGACUGAGGUCGCCCAGGUGUCUACUGUUAGACUGCCUGGGGUUAGCCAGGAGUCUCUCCCUUUAGAAUGCCUGGUUUUGCCCAGAUGUCUUUAUCAUUUGACUGCCUGGGUUCAGCCAGGAAUCUCUCUCAUUAGACUGCCUGGUGUCUGCUGGGAGUCUCUCCCAUUUGAGUGCCUGGGGUCGCACAGGUGUCUCUAUCAUGACAAUACCUGAGAUCGUUCAGGUGCCUCCAUCAUUACAAUGAGUGUGGACGAUGGGGAACCUCUCCCAUUACAAUACCUGUGGUCGCCCAGGUGUCUCUAUCAUUAGAAUGCCUGCCAUUCUAAUGUCAGUUGGGAAUCUCUCCCAUGAAUACCUGAGCUCGAGGAGCUGUCUCUAUCAUUAGACAGCCUGCAGUCGGCCAGUAGUUUCUCCCUUUAGAAUGCCUGGGGUCGUCCAGAUGUCUUUAUCAUUAGACUGCCCAGGGUCAGCCAGGUGUCUGUCUUAUUAGAAUGACUGGGGUCAGCUGGCAGUAUCUCCCAUUAGAAUGUCUGUGGUUGCCCAGGUGUCUCUAUCUUUAGACAGCCUGGGGUCUACCUGGAGUCUUUCCUGUUAGAAUGCCUGUGGUCACCCAUGUGUCUUUAUCAUUAGACUGCUUGGGUUCGGCCAGGAGUCUCUCCCAUUAGAAUGGCUGAAGUUGGCCGGGAGUCUCCCCCAUUAGAAUGCCUGUGGUUGCCCAGGUGUUUCUAUCAUUAGAAUGCCUGAGGUCGGUUAGGGGUCUCUCCCAUUAGAAUUCCUGUGGUUACCCAGGUGUCCCUAUUAGACUAACUUGGUUGGGCCAGGAGUCUCUCCCACUGGAAUGCAUGGGGUUGCCCAGGUGUCUUUUUCAUUAGACUACCUUGUGUUGGCCAGUAGUCUCUCCCAUAAAAAUCCCUGGGGUUGACCGAGAGUCUCUCCCAUUAAAAUGCCUGGGGUCAAACAUGUUGCUCUAUAAUUACAAUGUCUGGGGUUGGUCAGGGGUCUCUGCCAUAAGAAUGCCUAGUGUGGCCCAGCUGUCUCUAUCACUAGACUGCCUAAGUUCGGCAAAAAGUCUCUCCCAUAAUAAGGCCUGUGGUCACCCAGGUGUCUCUAUCAUAAGACUGCCUGCUGUUGGUCAAGGAUCUCUUCCCUUAGAAUGCUUCGGUUCACCCAGGUGUCUCUAUAAUUAGGCUGCCUGAAUUCAGUCAGGAGUCUCUCUUAAGACAAUGCCUGGGUUCACCCAGGAAUCUCUCUUAUUAAAAUGAUGAGGGUCACCAACGCGUCUCUAUUAUUAGAAUGCCUGGGCUCACGCAGGUGUCUCUAUCAUCAGACAGCCUGUGGUCGACCGGUAGUCUCUCCCUUUAGAAUGCCUGUGGUCGCCCAGGUGUCUUUAUCAUUAGGUGGCCUGAGGUUGGCCAGCAAUUUCUCCCAUUAGAAUGCCUGGGGUCAGCCAGGAGUCUCUUUCAUUAGAAUGCCUGAGGUCUCCAAGGUUCCUCUAUCAUUAGAAUGUUCAGGGACAGCUGGGAGUGUUUCCCAUUGAAAUGCCUAGGGUUGUCCAGGGGUCUCUAUUAUUGUACUGCCUGGGGUCAGCCAGGGUUCUCUGCCAUUAGAAUGCCUAGGGUCACCCAAGUGUCUGUAUCAUUGGACUGCCUGGAGUCGCCUAGUAGUCUCUCCCAUUAGAAUUUCUGCGGUAGCCUAGAUGCCUCUAUGAUAGGGCUGCCUAAUAUCAGCCAGGAAUCUGUUUCAUUAGAAUGCCUGGGGUAAGCAGGGUGUCUUUUCCAUUAGAAUGCCUGAAGUCGCCCAUGUGUCUCUAUCAUUAGAAUGCCUGGGGUCACCCAGGUGUUUCUAUAAUUAGACCGUCUGGGGUCGACCAGGAGUCUCUCCCAUUAGAAUGACGGGGGUCGCCCAGGUGUUUCUAUCAUUAGACUACCUGGAGUUGGCAGGGGGUCCCUUUCAUUAGAAUGCCUGAGGUCACCCAGUUGUCUCUAUUUUUAGACUACCUUGGGCUGGCGCAAUCCUCUCUCAUUGGAAUGCCUGUGGAUGCCCAGGUGUCUCUAAGCUCAUACUGCUUAGGUAGGCCAGCAGUUUCUCCUAUUAGAUUUCCUGGGGUCGGCCAGGAAUCUCUCCCAUUAAAAUGUCUGGGGUUGCCCAGGGGUCUCUAUCAGUAGAAAUCCUGGGGUCGGUGGUGACUCUUUUUUAUUAGAAUGCAUAGGGUUGCACAGGUGUCUCUAUCAUUAGACUGCCUGGGCUCAACCAGGAGUCUCUUCCAUUAAAAUUCUGGGGGUCACUCGUGUUUCUGUCACUAGGCCACCUGGUGUUGGCUGAAAGUAUCUUUCGUUAGAAUGCCUUGGGUCGCCCAGUUUUUACUUUCAUUAGAUUACCUGGGGUUGACCAGGAGUCUCUCUCAUUUCAAUGCCUUCAGUUGCCCAGGUGUCCCUAUUGUUAGAUUGCUUGCUGUCUGCAAGGAAUCUCUCCCAUUAGAAUGCCUUGUGUUGGCCGAGAGUCUCUCCCAUUAGAAUGUCUGGAAUUGCCCAGGUUUUUAUAUGAUGAGACUGCCUGGGGUCGGCCAGGGGUAUCUUUCUCUCGAAUGCCUGGGUUCAUGCAGCUGUCUCUAUAAUUAGACAGCUUUGAGUCAGCCAGGAGUCUUUCACAUUAGAAUGCCUGUUGUCGCCCAAGUGUCUCUAUCAUUAGAAUGAAUGGGGUCACCUGGAAGUUUCUCCCAUUGGAUUUCCUGGGGUCCCCGAGGUGUCUCUAUCAUUAGACUGCCUGGCGGUCCACACAAGUCUCUCCCAUUAGAAAGCCAGGGGUCGACCAGGUGUCUCUAUUAUUAGAAACCCUGGAAUCAGCCAAAGGUCUGUCCCAUUAGAAUGCCUGGAUUGCCCAGGUGUCUCUAUCAUUACAAUGCCUGGCUUCAGCCAGCAGUCUCUCCCAUUAUAAUACCUGGUUUUGCCCAGGUGUUUCCAUCAUUAGACUGCCCCAGGUCAGCCAGAAGUGUCUCCCAUUAAAAUGCAUGUGUCUCUAUCAUGAUACAGCCUGUGAUCAACUGGUAGUUUCUCCCAUUAGAAUGCCGGGAAUCACUCAUGUGUUUUUAUCAUUAGACUACUUGGUGUCGGCUGGGAGUCUUUCCCAUUGGAAUGCCUUGGGUCGUCCAGGUGAAUUUAUUAUUAGACUGUCUGGUGUCUGCGGGAGUCUCUUCCAUUACAAUGCUUUGAGUUGCACUGGUGUCUCAAUCGUUAGACUGUUGGGUUCUGCCAGGAGUGUCUCCCAUUACAAUGCCUUGGGUCACCCUGGUGUUUUUAUAAUUAGAUUUCCUGGUGUCAUCUAGGACUCUUUCCUAUUAGAAUGCCUGGAGUCGCCCAGGUGUUACUAUUCUUUGAUUGCCUGGGGUCAACCAAGGCUCUCUUCCAUUAGAAUGUCUCAGGUCGGCUGGGAGUCUUUCCCAUUAAAAUGCCUGGAGUCGCUUAGGUGUCUCUAUCAUUAGAAUGCUUUGGAUUGGCCAGUAGUCUUCCCCAUUAAAAUGCCUGGGUUUGGCCAGGUGUGUUUAUAACUAGACUACCUAAGGUAGUCUAGGGUCAGCCAGGAGUCUCUCCCAUUAGAAUACCUGGGUUCAGCUGAUAGUCUCUGCCAUUAGAAUGACUGGGGUCACCUAGGUUUUUUUUUUUUUAUAAUUAGACCACCUGGGGUCGGCCAGGAGUCUCUCCCAUUUGAAUGCGUGGGGUCACCCAGGUGUCUCUAUAAUUAGACCACCUGGUGUUGGCCAGGAGUCUCUCCCAUUGGAAUGCCUGUGGUCGCCCAGGUGUCUCUAUUAUUAGAAUGUCUGUGGUUGAUCGGGAGUUUCUCCAAAAUGCCUGUAGUUGAUUAGCUGUCUCUAUUAUUAGAAUGCUUGGGUUCGAGAAGGAGUCUCUUCCAUUUCAAUGCCUAGGGUUGAUCAGUUGUCUCUAUCAUUAGAAUGCUUGGUGUCAGCCAGGAGUCUCUUCCAUUAGUAUGCCUGGGGCCAUCCAGGUGUCUCUAUCAUUAGACUACCUUGGGUCAGCCGUUAGUCUAUCCCAUUAGAAUGCUUUGGUAUGCCCAGGUGUCUCUAUCUUUAGACUGCCUGGCUCAGCCAGGAGUCAUUCCCAUAAGAAUGCCUGGUGUCAGCCGGGGGUCUCUCCCAUUAGAAUGCCUGGGGUUGCCCAGGUGUCUUUAUAAUUAGACUGCCUGGGAUUGCACAGGAUUUUCUCCCAUUAGAAUGUCUGGGGUUGCCCAGGUGUCUCUAUCAUUAGACUGCUGGUGUUCGGACAGGAGCCGCUCUCAUUAAAAUGCCUGCAGUCGCCCAGGUUUCUCUAUCAUUAGACAGCCUGGAAACGGCCCAGAGUCUCUCCCAUUAGAAUGGUGUCUCUCCUGGGGUCAGCCAGGAACCUCUUCCAUUAGAAUUCUUGUGAUGGCCCACAUGUCUCUAUCAUUAGACUGCCUGGGGUUGGUCGGGAGUUGCUCCCAUUAGAAUGUCUGGGGUAGCCCAGGUGUCUUUAAUAAUUAGACUGCCUGGGGUUGACCAGGAGUCUCUCCCAUUAGAACACCCGUGGUCACCCAGCUGUCUCUAUCAUUAGACUGCCUGGGGCCAGCCAGGAGUACCUCUGUUAGAAUACUUGAGUUUACCUGAGAGUUUCUCCCAUACCUGGGGUGGCCCAGGUGUCUCUAUCAUUAGAAUGCCUAGGGUCAGCGGGGAGUCUCUGCCAUUAGAAUGCCUGGGGUUGGCUGGGAGCCUUCCCAUUUGAAUGCCUGGGGUCGUCAAAUUGUCUCUAUCAUUAGACUUCCUGAAUGUAGCAGGGCAUCUCUCACAUUAGAAUGCCUGGGGUCACCCAGGUAUCUGUAUCAUUAGACUGCCUGGGGUCAGCCAGGAGUCUUUCCUAUUAGAAUGCUUAGGGUCACCCAGGUGUCUCUAUCAUUAGACUGCCUGCUGUCACACGGGAGUCUUUCUCAUUAGAAUGCCUGGGGUCACCCAGGUGUCUCUAUGAUUAGACUGCCUGGGGUUGGCCAGGAGUCUCUCUGGUUAGAAUACCUGGGGCCACCCAGGUGCCUCUAUCAUUAGACUGCCUGGGGCCUGCCAGGGGUCUCUUCCAUUAGAAUUCCUGUGGUCGUUCAGGUGUUUCUAUCAUUAGACUCCCUGCGGUUGGCCAGGAGUUCCUCCCAGAAUGCCUGGGGUCUCCCAGGUGUCUCCAUAAAUAGACUGCCUGGGGUCAGCCAGAAGUCUCUCACAAGAGAAUGCCUGGGGUAGGCUGGGAGUCUCCACCAUUAGGAGGCCUGGAGUCACGUAGGUGUUUCUAACAUUAGAAUACCUGGGGUCAUCCAGGCUUCUCUCCCAUUAAAAUGUCCGGGCUCACCCUUUGUCUCUAUUAUUAGACGUCUGCCAUCGGCCCAGAGUGUCUUCUAUUAGAAUCCCUGUCGACCAGAUGGCUUUCACCUUGCCAUGUCUAAUGUUGAUCAGAUGGCUCUUGCCUUACCAUGUCUAAGGUUGCCCAGACAACUUGGGCCAGAAGCAGUACCAUUCAAAUCCAGCAGAAUGAU
rnacentral:lncRNA from 10 species